CCUACGGGGGGCAGCAGUGGGGAAUAUUGGACAAUGGGCGAAAGCCUGAUCCAGCAAUGCCGCGUGAGUGAUGAAGGCCCUAGGGUUGUAAAGCUCUUUUACCCGGGAAGAUAAUGACUGUACCGGGAGAAUAAGCCCCGGCUAACUCCGUGCCAGCAGCCGCGGUAAUACGGAGGGGGCUAGCGUUGUUCGGAAUUACUGGGCGUAAAGCGCACGUAGGCGGCUUUGUAAGUCAGAGGUGAAAGCCUGGAGCUCAACUCCAGAACUGCCUUUGAGACUGCAUCGCUUGAAUCCAGGAGAGGUCAGUGGAAUUCCGAGUGUAGAGGUGAAAUUCGUAGAUAUUCGGAAGAACACCAGUGGCGAAGGCGGCUGACUGGACUGGUAUUGACGCUGAGGUGCGAAAGCGUGGGGAGCAAACAGGAUUAGAUACCCCAGUAGUC
rnacentral:rRNA from 1 species